rnacentral:rRNA from 1 species
CCUGAUGCUAUCGGAUUGAUACUAAGCCAUGCGAGUCAUCGCAGCAAUGCAAGGCAGACGGCUCAGUAACGCGUAGUCAACCUAACCUAUGGACGGGAAUAACCUCGGGAAACUGAGAAUAAUGCCCGAUAGAACACUAUACCUGGAAUGGUUUGUGUUCCAAAUGAUUUAUCGCCGUAGGAUGGGACUGCGGCCUAUCAGUUUGUUGGUGAGGUAAUGGCCCACCAAGACUAUUACAGGUACGGGCUCUGAGAGGAGUAGCCCGGAGAUGGGUACUGAGACACGGACCCAGGCCCUAUGGGGCGCAGCAGGCGAGAAAACUUUGCAAUGUGCGAAAGCACGACAAGGUUAAUCCGAGUGGUUUCUGCUAAAGGAACCUUUUGUUAGUCCUAGAAACACUAACGAAUAAGGGGUGGGCAAGUUCUGGUGUCAGCCGCCGCGGUAAAACCAGCACCUCAAGUGGUCAGGAUGAUUAUUGGGCCUAAAGCAUCCGUAGCCGGCUCUGUAAGUUUUCGGUUAAAUCUGUACGCUCAACGUACAGGCUGCCGGGAAUACUGCAGAGCUAGGGAGUGGGAGAGGUAGACGGUACUCGGGAGGAAGUGGUAAAAUGCUUUGAUCUCUCGAUGACCACCUGUGGCGAAGGCGGUCUACCAGAACACGUCCGACGGUGAGGGAUGAAAGCUGGGGGAGCAAACCGGAUUAGAUACCCGGGUAGUCCCAGCUGUAAACUAUGCAAACUCAGUGAUGCAUUGGCUUGUGGCCAAUGCAGUAUUGCAGGGAAGCCGUUAAGUUUGCCGCCUGGGAAGUACGUACGCAAGUAUGAAACUUAAAGGAAUUGGCGGGGGAGCACCACAAGGGGUGAAGCCUGCGGUUC